UAGGGAAUCUUCGGCAAUGGGGGGAACCCUGACCGAGCAACGCCGCGUGAGUGAAGAAGGAUUUCGGUUCGUAAAACUCUGUUGUUAGAGAAGAACAGCGCAUAGAGUAACUGUUAUGCGUGUGACGGUAUCUAACCAGAAAGCCACGGCUAACUACGUGCCAGCAGCCGCGGUAAUACGUAGGUGGCAAGCGUUGUCCGGAUUUAUUGGGCGUAAAGCGAGCGCAGGCGGUCAAUUAAGUCUGAUGUGAAAGCCCCCGGCUCAACCGGGGAGGGUCAUUGGAAACUGGUUGACUUGAGUGCAGAAGAGGAGAGUGGAAUUCCAUGGGUAGCGGUGAAAUGCGUAGAUAGAGGGAGGAACACCAGUGGCGAAGGCGACUCUCUGGUCUGUAACUGACGCUGAGGUUCGAAAGCGUGGGUAGCAAACAGG
rnacentral:rRNA from 1 species